CUAUUGCUUCUACCUUUGAGGAUACCACCUUCUUCGGGCUCUUUAACCUCCAGGACACGCUUGACCUGAAAGCCUGUCUUCAAGAAUGUAAUUGGAAAACUCACACAGUGGACCUUUUGACAACUUCCAAUUGCAUCUCUUCUCAUCAUAUUGCCUACACAAUCUACGUGAUUUGGCCCUGUCUACUUCAUAUCAGCAUGAAGAAUGCAAGCCAAAGAAAAGAUUUUGGCAGAUGAAAGGCUGUAAUUAAUGAAGGUGUUUAUGAUGAGGCUUCAGACAACUUGAUUGCCAAACAUUGUAUUUGAAAUUUGAGAUGCCCCGUAAUAAAGGUAGACUCCGUGAGUAUUUUCCAAAUAAAUCCAUUUCAGAUAAGGACAAAUGAGUAAUGCCUAAAGCC
rnacentral:lncRNA from 1 species